AACGCUAGCUACAGGCUUAACACAUGCAAGUCGAGGGGAAACGAUAGAGAAAGCUUGCUUUUUCUAGGCGUCGACCGGCGCACGGGUGAGUAACGCGUAUCCAACCUGCCCACCACUUGGGGAUAACCUUGCGAAAGUAAGACUAAUACCCAAUGAUAUCUCUAGAAGACAUCUGAAAGAGAUUAAAGAUUUAUCGGUGAUGGAUGGGGAUGCGUCUGAUUAGCUUGUUGGCGGGGUAACGGCCCACCAAGGCGACGAUCAGUAGGGGUUCUGAGAGGAAGGUCCCCCACAUUGGAACUGAGACACGGUCCAAACUCCUACGGGAGGCAGCAGUGAGGAAUAUUGGUCAAUGGGCGAGAGUCUGAACCAGCCAAGUAGCGUGAAGGAUGACUGCCCUAUGGGUUGUAAACUUCUUUUAUACGGGAAUAAAGUGAGGCACGUGUGCCUUUUUGUAUGUACCGUAUGAAUAAGGAUCGGCUAACUCCGUGCCAGCAGCCGCGGUAAUACGGAGGAUCCGAGCGUUAUCCGGAUUUAUUGGGUUUAAAGGGAGCGUAGGCGGACGCUUAAGUCAGUUGUGAAAGUUUGCGGCUCAACCGUAAAAUUGCAGUUGAUACUGGGUGUCUUGAGUACAGUAGAGGCAGGCGGAAUUCGUGGUGUAGCGGUGAAAUGCUUAGAUAUCACGAAGAACUCCGAUUG
rnacentral:rRNA from 1 species